rnacentral:rRNA from 4 species
GUCUUCUUGUUAUAUUUAGGAAGUCUGGCCUGCCCAGUGAAAUAAUUUAACGGCCGCGGUAUACUGACCGUGCAAAGGUAGCAUAAUCAUUAGUCUUUUAAUAGAGGGCUGGUAUGAAGGGUUUAACGAGGUGUUGACUGUCUCAUUUAAUUUGAAUAUUAGAAUUUAAUUUUUUAGUUAAAAAGCUAAAAUAUUGUUGGAAGACGAGAAGACCCUAUAGAGCUUUAUAUUUUUAUUAUUAAUUUAUCAUAGAUUAUUAUUAUUUAUUAUUAAUAAAAAGUAUUUUGUUGGGGUGACAAAAAUAUAUAAAUAACUUUUUUAUUUUAUUUACAUUGAUAUAUGAAUAUUAGAUCCAAUCUUAUUGAUUGUUAGAUUAAGUUACCUUAGGGAUAACAGCGUAAUCCCUCUCCAGAGUUCAUAUUUACAGAGGGGCUUGCGACCUCGAUGUUGGAUUAAGAUAAUAAUUAGGUGCAGCCGCUUAAUUAAUAGGUCUGUUCGACCUUUAAAUUCUU